UCUCCGUUGGUGAACCAGCGGAGGGAUCAUUACCGAGUUUCCAACUCCCAAACCCAUGUGAACCUACCGCACGUUGCUUCGGCGGACCGCCCCGGCGCCCGAACCCCCAGGGGGGAGGCCCGGACCCAGGCGCCCGCCGGGGGACCCAAACUCCAGCAUCCGCCGCGCGGCGUCAGUCUCCUCUGAGUGAAAAGAAAACGAAUCAAAACUUUCAACAACGGAUCUCUUGGCUCUG
rnacentral:misc_RNA from 1 species